rnacentral:tRNA from 1 species
GGAAUAUAGCUCAGUUGGUAGAGUGUUGCCUCGCAUGCAUAAGGCCCUGGGUUUCAAUCCCCAGCACCA